rnacentral:rRNA from 1 species
UACAGAGGUCUCAAGCGUUGUUCGGAUUCAUUGGGCGUAAAGGGUGCGUAGGCGGCGCGGUAAGUCGGGUGUGAAAUCUCGGAGCUUAACUCCGAAACUGCAUUCGAUACUGCAGUGCUUGAGGACUGGAGAGGAGACUGGAAUUUACGGUGUAGCGGUGAAAUGCGUAGAUAUCGUAAGGAAGACCAGUGGCGAAGGCGGGUCUCUGGACAGUGCCUGACGCUGAGGCACGAAGGCCAGGGGAGCAAACGGG